GAAUGACAUUCGAUUGACUGGCCGCAUGGUGGACCUGGCUCACUCUCAACUGUACUAGUCUACUUGCUACUUAUGGCGUAGUUGAUACUAGACUACUAAUCAGGUUCCUUUUUUGUACGGACUUCGGAGGUACUUGGAGGUACGGUUGAUCCCGGGUGCCUGCAACCGAGCUGUCAAGACAAUUCAACAACCCUGGCGUACGCAUGAAAUAUCCUAUUCAGUCAUUAGCGAUUACUGAUUAACUGCUGUUGGAAAGCAUGGAAAUGAUUUCUAAUGCUUUUGAUCUGACACGCGGGGACAGCGAGACAUGUCCGGAGCUAAAGGCCGAGCUCGGAUAGUUUAAUAUCACCAAAUUCUGUGUAUUCCGUCAAUUGACCGUUUGCCGCAGUUGCCUAUGCAUAUUGGAUUGCUUUCUCGACCAGCUAGUACGUAGCUACUCGAGUUAUUGAGACAUAUCGUGCUUGUUAUGAUUGACAUUGACAAUAGAAGCUGAGGCCUUUCGGUGGGGGAGAUAAUGGUAACCUGUUUUAUAGUCAGUAUCUAUCUAGUCACGAUUCGCUAAGUCAUGUUAGUACUCAGAUUUCAUCCAUAACUAUUUCGUACUGGUACAUCGCUAAACUAAAUUAGGCGCAACAUCGUCUGAUUCAAAACUUUUAUACGAGCAAUUCCCAUCGUUCAUUGGUGUAAUUAGUCUUUGACCUAAAUUACCUCGUUGGUUGACAGAGUCUCGACUGUACACUACUCCCCUUCUGGAAUAUCUACAUUGGCUUUCCAGGAUGAAUGCAUUGAUGACCGAUCCGGCCCGUCAGACUAAUACUCGUUUGUUCGUUGGUAUCUUGGUACAUUAACUGAUACGACUAACCACGCUAGAGUCGAUUGAGCAUUGGGGGGCACAUAAUCUGGCCCGCCUCGAGCAUCCUGCUUGCGUCGUGGAAUCUAGGUUGUUCGGUUCAGGGAGCCGAUCAUGAUGGAUGUUGCAGGAUAUGUAAUGAUCUCUGUCAUUUCAUAUCAGUCUCGAUUAUAGCUUAACAACAGUGCGUCAUUCAGGAGGUUCAAUUUGGUUUUUCUGUUGGAUCAUCAAUAUGAUUGUCGUGGAGUCCGUGUGUAAGCGGGCACAAGA
rnacentral:lncRNA from 1 species